GUAUUAGCACAGAGAAGCAGAGCAAAAUAAUAAGGUCCAGACUCUUUUUUUGCCAUGUUUUAAUUUCUCUGAAGAUAUUAUUCAGGAUGGUAUGAGUCACCAUACCAUUUCCUAACUUUCCUUCUCUCAGAGGUGCUGAUUUAGAGAUUCAUUCAUGAAUUCUUUAAACCAUUGAAAUCUAUCAUCGACUAUCAACAUGUUGUCCACCUCACUACACACAGAAAAUAACCACAAAAACACAGGCAUGUCCCUUUCACUCUCAAACAUUGUUUUAUGUUCAUUCACAUUUACACUUCAGUACUUUGCUUCAGACUGAAUUAUCACUUUAUGCAUGUGUUAUUUGACAAAACAGAAUGAAGUUUCUGAUACAAAAAUUAAAUGACUCAUGAAUAAAAAUGUUGAAAAUUGUUAGGGUUGCCUAAACGUCUUCAUACAACUGUAUGUAAGAAAAUGCAGCAGUUCCUAAUAUACAGAUUUUGCCGAUUGCACAGAAAAGGCCAAAAAUAAACACAAUUGAAUUUUGCUAUUAAAGCUGUAAAAACCCGGUGUAUUUUUAUUGUAAGACAAUCUUAAUUUGUUCAAGGAAGCAACAUGUGAUUUCACUGAGAAAGUCAAUAGCUAUUGUAAUGUGGAUUAGAGAAUGGUACCCUAUAGUUAGGAACUGUACCUAAAGGUAAAACAUGUUAUUGGAAUAAUAAAAUCCUUAAUCCAAUUUACCAAGUAAACUUUAAUUACAAAUUAUUUAGUACAAAACAGAGCACUUAACAGUUAAUGAGAUCACUGAAAUAUUGGGAAAAAAUACAAUUUUUAAAACAUGUUACAACUUGUCGCUUUUACUUCGAUUUAUUUAAACGUGUGCUCCAAUGAGGAAAGCAAGAUAACGUUAAUAACCUGACAACCAAUCCUACCGUGGGUAGCGUUUACUGAUAACCAAUCAGAGCUUAGAAUCAGUUUAAAAAGAACGCUGGAUAAACCAAUCGGAAUGCUUCGCGCCUUAGCCACUCAGUAGUGUUCUUUGCUCUGGGUGGGUGGGACAAACAGUUUGCGUCAAACUAAAGCAGUUAUUGAUUCUCUACGCAGGAGUUGGAUUAUUCAUACUUUUGUCUUUUUCUGAAACUUUACACCUUAAAGACAUAUUAGCCAUUAACAAGCGGAAUGCUGUUUACGGGAGCUCCUCAGCGUAUCCUCCGCGGUCGCGGUGUGCACCACGCCUCCUGCCCUCAGCUCUCACACCCACAGAUGGCUACCAGAAUCUCCCGACCUGCGGUACAUCAUGGACCGCUACUUGGUUAAACCCAGAUAACCAUCCAACAAAGUGAACCAAUCCAAGUUCCUCCGUCAUGUCCACCCAAAGUUCCACAAACACAGGGACAGAGAUGAACCCAUUGCAACAAUUAUGAACUGGGAACUCAACUAAAGCUAACUAUGCUAAGUUAACCUACCGACACACAGACUGGGCUAAGAGCUAAUGCUAACCACUCCAUAUAAGGGAACAGGCCAAAUAAAAAGAACACUUCUUUCUGUCA
rnacentral:lncRNA from 1 species